AGCAGCUGAAGUGAAAGUAUUCAGUCACGCUCCACUUUACAGUCUGUAGAGCAGAAGGAGGAAAACAACAAGUCUGACGCAGUGUUACUGGUUUACCUCUCAGACCCCAGAAGAUGGAGGAAGAGGAGGACGGAGCAGAGUCUGUAAUAUCCAGCCGUCUGUCUAUGAAGAGUGACUGGUCUGAUCAUCAUCCUCCUCUCUUCAGUAAUGAACCUGGACCCUCAGACACAAAACUUUCUGACUGUGGACUCUCAGAGACUCACUGUGAAGUUUUGGCCUCAGCUCUGAAGUCCAGCCUCCAUCUGACACAUCUGGAC